AACGAACGCUGGCGGCAGGCCUAACACAUGCAAGUCGAACGCUCCAGCAAUGGAGAGUGGCAGACGGGUGAGUAACGCGUGGGAACCUUCCCUAUGGUUCGGAAUAGCUCAGGGAAACUUGAGGUAAUACCGGAUAAGCCCUUCGGGGAAGGAUUAUCGCCAUUGGAUGGGCCCGCGUAGGAUUAGCUAGUUGGUGAGGUAACGGCUCACCAAGGCGACGAUCCUUAGCUGGUCUGAGAGGAUGAUCAGCCACACUGGGACUGAGACACGGCCCAGACUCCUACGGGAGGCAGCAGUGGGGAAUAUUGGACGAAUGGGCGCAAGCCUGAUCCAGCCAUGCCGCGUGAGUGACGAAGGCCUUAGGGUUGUAAAGCUCUUUUGGC
rnacentral:rRNA from 1 species